UACGUAGGGUCCGAGCGUUGUCCGGAAUUAUUGGGCGUAAAGGGCUCGUAGGCGGUCUGUUGCGUCGGGAGUGAAAACUUACAGCUUAACUGUGAGCGUGCUUUCGAUACUGCCGUGCUUGAGGACUGUAGAGGAGACUGGAAUUUACGGUGUAGCGGUGAAAUGCGUAGAUAUCGUAAGGAAGACCAGUGGCGAAGGCGGGUCUCUGGACAGUUCCUGACGCUGAGGCACGAAGGCCAGGGGAGCAAACGGG
rnacentral:rRNA from 1 species